GGUACAAGUAGCUUAAGUAGAGCUUCUUAUUGAAAAUAAGAAAGGUGGUAUUUCCCUGUGCCU
rnacentral:tRNA from 1 species